rfam:Desulfuromonas acetoxidans DSM 684 ctg66, whole genome shotgun sequence.
CUCCGAUAAAGGCAAAACCGGAGUAAUCCGGUGACGCAAAGCCACGGGUCCUGUUUGACAGGAUCGCCGGGUUCCCGAA